GAUGAACGCUGGCGGCGUGCCUAAUACAUGCAAGUCGAGCGAACGGACGAGAGGCUUGCUUCUCUGAUGUUAGCGGCGGACGGGUGAGUAACACGUGGAUAACCUACCUAUAAGACUGGGAUAACUUCGGGAAACCGGAGCUAAUACCGGAUAAUAUUUUGAACCGCAUGGUUCAAAAGUAAAAGACGGUCUUGCUGUCACUUAUAGAUGGAUCCGCGCUGCAUUAGCUAGUUGGUAAGGUAACGGCUUACCAAGGCAACGAUGCAUAGCCGACCUGAGAGGGUGAUCGGCGACACUGGAACUGAGACACGGUCCAGACUCCUACGGGAGGCAGCAGUAGGGAAUCUUCCGCAAUGGGCGAAAGCCUGACGGAGCAACGCCGCGUGAGUGAUGAAGGUCUUCGGAUCGUAAAACUCUGUUAUUAGGGAAGAACAUAUGUGUAAGUAACUGUGCACAUCUUGACGGUACCUAAUCAGAAAGCCACGGCUAACUACGUG
rnacentral:rRNA from 1 species